UGACACAAUAACGCGAGAUCACAUUUCCAGCACGCCGACACCCAGACCUCCCUUGCCCGCCAUAGGAAGCAAAAUGUGAGUGCAGUGAGGACUUCAUGUGUGAGACGAGUAGAACUAACUUCCAGAAUCAUGGGAGGAGGAUUGAAAGUCCAUGCGCAUCCUUGGUCUUGAAGGAGAACAGGACGGCCCAGCGGUUACUUUCAGCGCUGCCUCCUCUGGUCCGAAGAGAGGUGAUGAUCCAGGGUCCCAAGAUGUCCAGUCCAACAUGAGUGAACGGAGGAUCAGAGGCACGUCUGUCUGCAGGAAAGUCUGACAUCUUUUGUUCUUCCAGUUUUCCUCUACGUUUUCUGCAGAUCACACACUUAUAGAUUAUGCUGGAUACCAGUCUUUUACUUCCAAUGAUCCACAAUCCAGCUGACCGGACUGCACUUUCAAAUAAAAUAAAAUGUAUUUA
ensembl:lncRNA